rnacentral:lncRNA from 1 species
GCAGGACACAGAACACAUUUAUGAGUCUUUUCACCCUCAUUUCGUUGAAGAUUUUAUUGGCCGAAGAACCCUCAGUAGGCACGAAAUUCAUUCUCACAAGCAGAGAGAUGCAUUAUGCUCCAUUUAUUGCUCAUCCUAAAUUAUAAACAUUUCCAGUGAAUGUAAAGGAAGAUAUGAUUGAAAAGGACUCUGUGAAGACAGGAUGUUUCUGUACAGUCCUUGUAUCUGCUCACCUAUUCCAAACUUUCCAGAGAUUUUACCAGAGGUUUAAGAUAUUCUCCUGAGGGUUUGCUGUAGAGAGAUUUUUCUUAACUAAGGAGUGCAAGUAGCAAGCAAUAGCCCACCCAGUUGGAGACAAAAAAGAAGGGUGUCAGUGUUCCCACUGUUAAAAAACAAAAAAAAAUCACCCUGGACACCUCUGAGAAUUAUACAAGGGGAUGUACACAGCCCUGCUUUAUUUGAGUUCAAAAGGAAGGUGGGUUUUGAAAGAAGAACAAGGAGAGUAGAUCUCUCUGGAUCUUCUGAUGCUCACAGCAAAGAGCUCAAGGUAUCUGAGUCAACUCUUGAGGCUUCUUCGAACAGAGGGAUGAAGAGAGAAUAUGGCAAGCUUGCCAACAGAUCCCAGAAGUUUUAAGAGAAAAGAACAGAUUGCUCUUUGCAAAACAAACCGAGCUGGGUGCAUGGAGCCCCAGUAGACAGAAAGUGAAGAAAACAUCAACGUUCUGAAGUUUUAGAUAGGUGCACCAUCCCUUAUGGAUACCAAUCUGUGCUCCCCAUAAACUUCUGUGCCCAGGGUCAACUGGCCAGGGACAACUGGCUCACCAGGAGGCCUACAUAGCCUCUUCUUCAGGCCCUAAUUACAGCUCUAUGCAAUAGGGACUCUGCCAUCUGACAGCCAAGGAGGUGGUUCGGUUUCUGCACAUGGUUUUUUCCGCUGGGUCCCUUGAGGUCCAUGGUAACCUCUUCCUCAUUCUCUACAGGCAGAUCACACUUUGUAAUAAGAUCAGAGGCAGAGAACUUUGACCAGAUCACACUUUAUAAUAAGAUCAGAGGCAAAGAACUCUGACCAGAUCACACUUUAUAAUAAGAUCAGAGGCAGAGAACUUUGACAACUAUCUCCUUGCCCUCUGGCCCUGGGGUCAGGGCUACUCAAACAACACCUGCUGUCCCAAACCCGGAGAAGUGUAGAUUUUGGCACUGGUAGAGGAAUAACAGCUAUUGUUGACACUUAAUCUUGUGGGCCUGGAAUUUCAACUAUGUUUUCACAACUCGGAGCCUAUUGCUGCCACCUCUGUCAGGGAAGAUAAAUGGGCAUGAAUAAUAGACAGAUGAGUUUCCCAAAAGCCCAGACAGGCUGCAGGGAACACGUAAUGAGCAGACAGUGUGGUUCACGCCGGGGAGCCCAGGUUUAUCCAGGCCUCAUCCUCACUCCCUUUCUCUACUGAUAAUUGGACCCAACAGGACCAUUCCGAAUCAUUUUUCUCUCUUCAGUUAUUCUUCAGUUCUACUCAAAGGGUCAGUUUAGGGCAUAAUUAAAGUCAAUUACUUUCUGAAAGGCCAUCAGGACAACUGUUAGAGAAAAUGAUAGCAGCCCCGCACUUGCUGUAGGAAUUAUUAGCUUGUCAGCCUCCAGGCUUAUGGAGACAAAGGAUCAAAAAGUUAGAGAGAUCCAGAUGAAGAAAGAUGAUACGAUGUGAUGGACAACAGAGACUUAUAUGGUGGGGUCUGGGCUGGUCUUUCUGAAGCUAAGACUGGCAGGAUGAGCAGGAGUUUGCCAGACAAAGAGGAGUGGAGUUGUUUUCCAAACACAUCUCAGCACAAAGUGUUGUCUUUGCUGGGAGCUGAAAAAAGAUAGUGUGGGCAGAGACCAUUAGGUGAGACGCUUGAUAUGAGAUACAACCUCAACAGGUGGAAGAAGAUCAUGAGAGAUGAAGAGAGGAAUAUAGUACAGCAGAGAGGACACAGAAGCUGACGUCAGGGUGUCUCAGUUUGAAACCAGUGGCCACCCUGUUCCUCUCCCAUGUGGUCCCAUCAUGGGCCUCUAGGGUCUGGGAUAAGAGGUUAAUGAAUAUCUCAUACCCUAAGCAGGGGUGGUCCCUGCACUUUAGCAAAAAGUUAAGGAACUAGGGAAAAGAGAUGGAAAUAAUAAAGAGAUGGGACAAAGACUUUGAAGACCAAAGCCCCUGGGCUAUUCUCUUUUUUAAAUUUUUUUAUUUAAAUUUUCAUUUAUUUUUAUCAAGAUAGGGUCUCACUAUGUUGCCCAGGUUGGUCUCAAACUUUUGGCCUAAAGCAAUCCUCCCACCUUGGCCUCCCAAUGUGCUGGGAUUACAAUGUGAGCCACCACGUCCAGCCUCCUGGGAUAUUUCUCAAUGAAACAUUGGAUGCCAAGAUUGGUUUUGUGCCACAUGCCAAUUUCACAGAAGCCAGUCUAUGAGCCACCAGCUCUACUCAGCAAUUACAGUUUCUGGAACUUUGGCUAAAUUCCUGUAGAUGCACCACUGCUUGUGGCCUGACUCUUUGCCACCCAAGUGCGCUCAGCCUCCCCUGGGGAGUCUGCCAGGCUUGCAUGGCUCCCACUGCACUUGCUGUGCUGGGACCGAAAACAGUUUUUGUGCCCCUAGCUUAACUCCACUGGAUUCAUAGAGGCUUUGGCCUCCUCAAUGGCUGUCCUGGGACAGGGAGGCUGGUUAGCACAAUUAACACAACCUGGUCAUGCAAGGCAUUGAUGGUCCGUAACAUGAACUUUGACCAGUAGGAGACAGAGAAUGGAAAAAAGCCAGCAGAUAAAUCAUCUGGCCUUCCUCCCCUAUGACAGACUGUUCUGAGCCACAGUGUUUCACAUGUCUUCCUGGAGAUGUCCCACAUGACUUGAGCAACCAGCUGGAGCUCUGGAGAAACUGUGGCCAUCCUGAGGAAGAAACAGGCCCAGAGAAGUUGGGUAACUCAUCAAAGGUCACAGAGCUAAGAGUGGCAGAGUCAGGCCUGGAGCCCAGGAAGUCUGGUUUCGAAUUUCAUGCUUCUAACCUGAGCACUGUACUGCUUGGUGGAGUUCUCUGCUAGUCCUACCUUUCAGGCAGAGGUGAUGCAGCAAGAAAGCUGCCACCAGAUGCAGCCCCUUGAUCUCGGACUGCCCAGCCUCUAGAACUGAGUUGAAGAGCAAUUCCCUCCAGUUUCCAUUAGAAAUGCUUCUUCUUCCAUAUCAAAUAUUGUGAGAUAGCCUGAAACACCUUUCAACACUUUACUACCCUUCUCCAAAAUUCAACAGAUAUGAUUUCCACGGACUUUACUCACAGGGGCUUCAGUAGAAGAGGAAGAGGCUUGGGUUUA